GACGAACGCUGGCGGCGUGCCUAAUACAUGCAAGUUGAGCGAUGAAGAUUGGUGCUUGCACCAAUUUGAAGAGCAGCGAACGGGUGAGUAACGCGUGGGGAAUCUGCCUUUGGGCGGGGGACAACAUUUGGAAACGAAUGCUAAUACCGCAUAACAACUUUAAACAUAAGUUUUAAGUUUGAAAGAUGCAAUUGCAUCACUCAAAGAUGAUCCCGCGUUGUAUUAGCUAGUUGGUGAGGUAAAGGCUCACCAAGGCGAUGAUACAUAGCCGACCUGAGAGGGUGAUCGGCCACAUUGGGACUGAGACACGGCCCAAACUCCUACGGGAGGCAGCAGUAGGGAAUCUUCGGCAAUGGACGAAAGUCUGACCGAGCAACGCCGCGUGAGUGAAGAAGGUUUUCGGAUCGUAAAACUCUGUUGGUAGGGAAGAACGUUGGUGAGAGUGGAAAGCUCAUCAAGUGACGGUAACUACCCAGAAAGGGACGGCUAACUACGUG
rnacentral:rRNA from 1 species